GAGAUAGCGUAUUUGAUUAAUGUUUUAAGUUACGUUCUAACUGUUAUUUUUCAAUAGAAAACACGACUGAAAAUUAGAAAAUGAUUGGUUUUUAUUAGUUUUCACUGCUCUUUACACAAAUGUUAUGCAAAUUUUUUGACAAAUUAUUAUUGUUGAAGAAAUAAAUUAAAUAAUGCAGUUACGCUACAAAAUUGUAGAUUGUAAUCGGUACAGUACUGAUAUUCUGCAUAAAAAUUUUCUAGGUUGCCUUUUUCCACGGUAUUUUUUAUUUUUUUUCUUUGCGACAAAUUUUCUUUUGGCGCACUGGCGAUGCCAUUUUCCUACCGGCGUUACGCGACAUUCUAGAAUGUUCGAUCUUGCAAAAGCAUAGGUUGUAAGGAGUGUUUAUAAAAAUGACGUUGUUUAAUGUUGCAAACGUUAUAAAUAUGUUAGCGACAUCGUUUCACAUUAAAACUUCAACACAGACACCUAUAACACCUCUUGAAAUCGAAGUACAUGAUGAAAUUCAUCAGAUUCUAUAGAAUGUUCAGAACAAACCUUUGAUGACAUCAUUUGAACAUGAUUACAUGCUGGAUUUUGCCGAUUCAUCACAAUUACAUGAGAAACAAGUUUCAGAGUAUGUUAGGUCUAUAGAUAGUGACGAUGUUGAUGCUGAAGAUAGUUUUCAGCUUAAAGAAUGCAUUGUCGAUGACGAAAAUGGGAAGGUCGACUUUAAUUAUAAGAGAAAAGCUGUGGAGUUUUGGAAAGGUGGAAAGAAGACACGUCGUACUUUAACUAGUGUACAGAGCCGUUAUCGCAAGGUUAAAUCCUUU
rnacentral:lncRNA from 1 species